GUUUGUUAAAUUGUUGGUGGGAAGCUGUGCAACCAACUUUGAAUUACAUAUCCCCUUAACCCAAGAACCACAGAUUCUCCGAAGGUCACACCGAAGCUAUUGUUUUAUAUAAUAUGCUCUCUCUCUCCUAAUUAACGAUGUGUGGGUACAUGAAUAAUGUGACACGUGGAAAGAGUCGAGUUGUGGGGUUAUCGUUUCACUUCUUUUGCAUCAUUUAAUCAAC
rnacentral:lncRNA from 1 species